rnacentral:rRNA from 1 species
GAUUAAGCCAUGCAUGUCAUCAGUGCAAGCCAAAUUAAGGUGAAACCGCGAAUGGCUCAUUAAAUCAGUUAUGGUUCCUUAGAUCGUACCACGUUACUUGGAUAACUGUGGUAAUUCUAGAGCUAAUACAUGCAAACUGAGUCCCGACCAGAAAUGGAAGGGACGCUUUUAUUAGAUCAAAACCAAUCGGUCGGCUUGUCCGGUCCGUUUGCCUUGGUGACUCUGAAUAACUUUGAGCUGAUCGCACGGUCCUCGAACCGGCGACGCAUCUUUCAAAUGUCUGCCUUAUCAACUGUCGAUGGUAGGUUCUGCGCCUACCAUGGUUGUAACGGGUAACGGGGAAUCAGGGUUCGAUUCCGGAGAGGGAGCCUGAGAAACGGCUACCACAUCCAAGGAAGGCAGCAGGCGCGCAAAUUACCCACUCCCGGCACGGGGAGGUAGUGACGAAAAAUAACGAUACGGGACUCAUCCGAGGCCCCGUAAUCGGAAUGAGUACACUUUAAAUCCUUUAACGAGUAUCCAUUGGAGGGCAAGUCUGGUGCCAGCAGCCGCGGUAAUUCCAGCUCCAAUAGCGUAUAUUAAAGUUGUUGCGGUUAAAAAGCUCGUAGUUGGAUUUGUGUCCCACGCUGUCGGUUCAUCGCUCGUCGGUGUCUAACUGGCAUGAUACGUGGGACGUCCUGCCGGUGGUGGCGAGUCGAAGGCGUGCACCCGCCGCGGUUAUCCGCGUGUGGUUCUUGUGCGCCCGAGGCGAACCCCGAUGAAAUCCUACCGCGGUGCUCUUCGCCGAGUGUCGAGGUGGGCCGGCACGUUUACUUUGAACAAAUUAGAGUGCUUAAAGCAGGCCUGUUGCGCCUGAAUACUGUGUGCAUGGAAUAAUGGAAUAGGACCUCGGUUCUAUUUUGUUGGUUUUCGGAACCAGAGGUAAUGAUUAAUAGGGACAGGCGGGGGCAUUCGUAUUGCGACGUA